AGUGAACGCUGGCGGUAGGCCUAACACAUGCAAGUCGAACGGCAGCACAGUAAGAGCUUGCUCUUAUGGGUGGCGAGUGGCGGACGGGUGAGGAAUACAUCGGAAUCUACUUUUUCGUGGGGGAUAACGUAGGGAAACUUACGCUAAUACCGCAUACGACCUACGGGUGAAAGCAGGGGAUCUUCGGACCUUGCGCGAUUGAAUGAGCCGAUGUCGGAUUAGCUAGUUGGCGGGGUAAAGGCCCACCAAGGCGACGAUCCGUAGCUGGUCUGAGAGGAUGAUCAGCCACACUGGAACUGAGACACGGUCCAGACUCCUACGGGAGGCAGCAGUGGGGGAUAUUGGACAAUGGGCGCAAGCCUGAUCCAGCCAUACCGCGUGGGUGAAGAAGGCCUUCGGGUUGUAAAGCCUUUUUGUUGGGAAAGAAAAGCAGCAGGUUAAUACCCCGCUGUUCUGACGGUACCCAAAGAAUAAGCACCGGCUAACUUCGUG
rnacentral:rRNA from 1 species